GUGCAAGCGUUAAUCGGAAUUACUGGGCGUAAAGCGCACGCAGGCGGUUUGUUAAGUCAGAUGUGAAAUCCCCGCGCUUAACGUGGGAACUGCAUUUGAAACUGGCAAGCUAGAGUCUUGUAGAGGGGGGUAGAAUUCCAGGUGUAGCGGUGAAAUGCGUAGAGAUCUGGAGGAAUACCGGUGGCGAAGGCGGCCCCCUGGACAAAGACUGACGCUCAGGUGCGAAAGCGUGGGGAGCAAACAGGAUUAGAUACCCUGGUAGUCCACGCUGUAAACGAUGUCGACUUGGAGGUUGUGCCCUUGAGGCGUGGCUUCCGGAGCUAACGCGUUAAGUCGACCGCCUGGGGAGUACGGCCGCAGGUUAAAACUCAAAUGAAUUGACGGGGGCCCGCACAAGCGGUGGAGCAUGUGGUUUAAUUCGAUGCAACGCGAAGAACCUUACCUACUCUUGACAUCCACGGAAUUCGCCAGAGAUGGCUUAGUGCCUUCGGGAACCGUGAGACAGGUGCUGCAUGGCUGUCGUCAGCUCGUGUUGUGAAAUGUUGGGUUAAGUCCCGCAACGAGCGCAACCCUUAUCCUUUGUUGCCAGCACGUAAUGGUGGGAACUCAAAGGAGACUGCCGGUGAUAAACCGGAGGAAGGUGGGGAUGACGUCAAGUCAUCAUGGCCCUUACGAGUAGGGCUACACACGUGCUACAAUGGCAUAUACAAAGAGAAGCGAACUCGCGAGAGCAAGCGGACCUCAUAAAGUAUGUCGUAGUCCGGAUUGGAGUCUGCAACUCGACUCCAUGAAGUCGGAAUCGCUAGUAAUCGUAGAUCAGAAUGCUACGGUGAAUACGUUCCCGGGCCUUGUACACACCGCCCGUCACACCAUGGGAGUGGGUUGCAAAAGAAGUAGGUAGCUUAACCUUCGGGAGAGCGCUUACCACUUUGUGAUUCAUGACUGGGGUGAAGUCGUAAC
rnacentral:rRNA from 1 species